rnacentral:rRNA from 1 species
AGCAGCCGCGGUAAUUCCAGCUCCAAUAGCGUAUAUUAAAGUUGUUGCAGUUAAAAAGCUCGUAGUUGAAUUUCGGGAUCAAUAUGUUGGUCAUGCCUCGGUACGUACUAGCUUAUUGGUUUCUCCUUUCUGAAGAACCAUGAUGUCAUUUAUUUGGUGUCGUGGGGAAUCAGGACUGUUACUUUGAAAAAAUUAGAGUGUUUAAAGCAGGCUCACGCUUGAAUACAUUAGCAUGGAAUAAUGAAAUAGGACGUUUGAUUCUAUUUUGUUGGUUUCUAGGAUCGACGUAAUGAUUAAUAGGGAUAGUUGGGGGCAUUAGUAUUCAAUUGUCAGAGGUGAAAUUCUUGGAUUUAUUGAAGACUAACUACUGCGAAAGCAUUUGCCAAGGAUGUUUUCAUUAAUCAAGAACGAAAGUUAGGGGAUCGAAGACGAUCAGAUACCGUCGUAGUCUUAACCAUAAACUAUGCCGACUAGGGAUCGGAUGAUGUUAAUUUUUUAAUGACUCAUUCGGCGCCUUACG